CUCCCGCCUCGGGGGGCUCCGAGCUGCUCAUCUUUCCCCUCAUUUGCCCCGAGUUCUUAGGGAAGGGGUGGGGGAGAGAAGGACGUUGGGAGUCUGUCCCCGGCAGCAUCGAUGAGGACCGUCCCCCCUCCUCCGUCUGCAGAAGAAGCUGCUGUCACUGAGGAGAACUUUCAAGCUGCCUGUGACUGAAAAGAUGUGCAAUAUGAUUUGCUGCAUAUGUUCUUCUAUAGAAACAUGCCGGAUCCAAUGGCUUUCUGCCCACUUUCUCCUCUGGGAAUGUCUUCUUCUAUGGAAUAUUCAGGAACCCAGCUUACUAUGUGCUCCUUAGGGUCCUUACCCAGGUGUUUGAAUGCGUGUCUAUUGGAAUACAUGCUCAGUAUACCAAAACAAAAGGAAGUUCUUCAAAUUCAAUAAUAUACUAAGAACAUGGGUAAAACCAAUAAAAAUGCAGUGUGUUGCAUUUAAAAAAAGCAACUGUGCUAAAAUCAAGAUUUUUGGUUCUCUGCAUUAAAAUGAAACAUUUGUGUUGUUUUUUAGGCACAAGUGUGCAUCAGAUGUUGAGGUUGCUUGUUAUUUGUUGUAUAAAACUUUUUGUGUUUCAAGUUUAGUGGAUCAAGCUGGAUCAAGCUGUGCCCUUACUGUCCUCAAUGUAUAUGCUCUAUAAUCAUAUCUCUGUUUCCAAUAACCAUAGGUUCACAAAGCAAUUCUUGCAGUAAUCAUAUUUCAAUGGAAAAAUAAAAAAAAAUCAGUUAUUUAGCAUCUUUGUGUUUGACUGACAAUAGCUACUUCGAGAAUAGUGAUGUGCGUGAUGACAAAAAGUCAGCCUGCACCAGACCUGAAUCCAACCGGACAAGUCUCAUCUAUUCAUAGACCUGCUCAUUUCUGAAAUCACGAAAAAGGGUGGGCAGGUGCGCCUCAAAAUAAAGGCUGCAGGAGAGUGAAGGAAGAGCUCAACCAUAACCUGCCCACGACCCAGAAAUAACGUGCUGAAGUCAGCCUGAAUCUGCCCAACCCACGGCCCACACAUCACACUUUAAGGGGGAAAUUCAUUAGCCACUUCGCCCUGGUCCAUCACAGACAAUUUCAUGCAAUCCUUUCCAACAAAGGGAAGCUUUAAGGGAACUGAAUCAGUCCCUACAGCCCUCUGUGGUGUUCCAUUCACUGCCAUAGUGCUAAUUUAUAUGUGUAAAUGAUGUUUUUUUUAUCAAACAACCCAGGGCUGAAGUCCGCAGCAGCAUGUUCCCAUGGGAACAAGUACAUCAUACUUUUUUCCUUAAGUUUUCAUUUAAUUUCUUUAAUAAACAUUUUGUAUCUCACUGAUUUUGAGUUCAAGGUUUCAUGUUUCAAAAAACAAUUGCAAAUAAAUCCCGGACCAUAUUUACUGUUAGAGUGGGCAACACAAGGCAGAAUAAAUGCCAUAUAAAAAGUGCUGGCACUUGUCCCAUUUGAGUGUAGUAUCAGUAUACUGUACUUGUUGUGUCUAUUGCUUUGAUUCAGGUAAAAAGUGAAGCGUGUUAUUGACUAGGAGUUAGUCCAGGCUCUUAUUUAAUACCUUUCAUCUGUGUGCUCUCUUUCUUUGUUCCUGCAAAAUGUGUAGUUUAUAAACAUUAUGUGCCUGUAUUUAAGCAUAGCUUGUGCCUAAUGGUUUGUGUAAUAAUUUUUGAGCUGCUUGCAGGGAUUGCAGUUGUUUUCAUUUUUCCACAUUUAGUCAGGUUUUGGAGUAUAAAUCUAUAUUAUUUGCGUGUGAGUUGUGGUGUAUACAGCAUUUGAUGUUCAUGGGGUCAGUUUCUCUGAUCUACUGGCUUUCACUUCCUCAAUGUGUGUGAGCUGACUCACACACACACACACACAAAAACCCA